AAAAUACUAGCUCAUCUAAGCCUUCUUUAUACUUUUCUCCCCAAAUCAGCCUCCAUUUUACAUACAAUUUGGGCAUAUCUAGGUUUAAACAGGUCUGCCUCAGUCACAUGUCAUUUGAGUCACUGUGUCUCUGCUGUAAUCAAAAUUGCCAGGCUGUUUUCUGUUCUGCUCCCCCAGAGAAUAUGCAGCUGCACCAUUUUUCUUCCUGAUUUGCAUCUCCAAACAGGACAAGAAGAGAGUGCAGAGAGAAGAUGAGAGAGAGAAGGAUGUUAACUCGAGUAAACUGGUAAGUGUUGCCCAUGGGUAGGUAUUCAUUUCUAUCAUAGUCUUCACUCAGUUGUGAAGUCAGCAAGCUUCUUGACACUGCAUCCAUUUUGGGAUUACAGGGCUGAUGGGAAAAGCAUAGUUAGAGCAGCCAGGACUCCUAGAGACAGUACGUUGUGGAAUCAUUGCAUAGGGUCAGAACAGCAGGCCAGACCAUGUCAUGGAAAAGAAAGUAGAAACAGCAGAUACUGUACUGUGCUGCAAGAAGCUAAAGAGAAGGAAGGCCACUCUUCCACCAACCCUCUUGAGAAGGUCCUACUUCAUCAGGCUGCUGCAGAGGAGGAAGCAGGCUCACUCCACCACCUCACCUUGAACUCCAGCAAAACGUGCCUUUUCUUCCUUCACUUGCUUUAGGCUGCUUCCAUUCUAAUGGGUUGUGAUAAGAAGACCAAUCAAAGUUGGUUGUAUUACACCUGAUCAUGAAGUACAAGAACAUUAUAACACUUAGUUCCGGUGCCUGAAUUGUUUUUAUUUUUCAUCCCUUAUUUCUCUUGUGUUAUAGGGCUAAAACCAAGUUUUGGUCAAUCCAAGUUGAGUAGGCGAGUUAAAUGAAUGGCACACGUUAAGUCAAAAUUCAUGUAAGUCUUAUUGAUUCAGUCAGUCUACUCUGGCUGGGACUAACAACUAGAUUAAACCCUCAUCUGUUUAGAUUGCCAAUCCCAGGGACGGGACCGUCUUCUCUUUUUUUAUUAUGUACAAUUGCAAUUGGAGCUUCGAAAGCCAAAGAGUGUGGUAUAAAAAUAUAACUAAAUGUAGCAAGUUUUCCCUAGUGUUAUCAGUUUCAUUAGCUGUCAUUUGCAGGAACCUUAUGAUAUGAAGUUAUCACAUUAUGUACCUAGAUGUUAUCAGAGGAGAAAGAAGGAGACCUGGGGCUGUUGGUUCCACUAUCUGCAUUUGGCCUAAGAACACUAGCUUCAGCACAAAUUGUGCAAGAGCAAAGAAGUCUCCUUUCAGUUGCUAAUGUGCUUUUAAUUCCAUACACAGCCAAUUAAAAUGAACUCUGUGAUGCAAAUCUGCCCUGAUGUCAUAGUGACCAUCUUGGAACACCAAAUCCCUCAAUUCAUCAGGUUAAAUGAAUUUGGGGAUAUUAAAUCCCACCAGUGCCAAU
rnacentral:lncRNA from 1 species